GACGAACGCUGGCGGCGUGCCUAAUACAUGCAAGUCGAACGAACUCUGGUAUUGAUUGGUGCUUGCAUCAUGAUUUGCAUUUGAGUGAGUGGCGAACUGGUGAGUAACACGUGGGAAACCUGCCCAGAAGCGGGGGACAACACCUGGAAACAGAUGCUAAUACCGCAUAACAACUUGGACCGCAUGGUCCGAGUUUGAAAGAUGGCUUCGGCUAUCACUUUUGGAUGGUCCCGCGGCGUAUUAGCUAGAUGGUGGGGUAACGGCUCACCAUGGCAAUGAUACGUAGCCGACCUGAGAGGGUAAUCGGCCACAUUGGGACUGAGACACGGCCCAAACUCCUACGGGAGGCAGCAGUAGGGAAUCUUCCACAAUGGACGAAAGUCUGAUGGAGCAACGCCGCGUGAGUGAGGAAGGGUUUCGGCUCGUAAAACUCUGUUGUUAAAGAAGAACAUAUCUGAGAGUAACUGUUCAGGUAUUGACGGUAUUUAACCAGAAAGCCACGGCUAACUACGUGCCAGCAGCCGCGGUAAUACGUAGGUGGCAAGCGUUGUCCGGAUUUAUUGGGCGUAAAGCGAGCGCAGGCGGUUUUUUAAGUCUGAUGUGAAAGCCUUCGGCUCAACCGAAGAAGUGCAUCGGAAACUGGGAACUUGAGUGCAGAAGAGGACAGUGGAACUCCAUGUGUAGCGGUGAAAUGCGUAGAUAUAUGGAAGAACACCAGUGGCGAAGGCGGCUGUCUGGUCUGUAACUGACGCUGAGGCUCGAAAGUAUGGGUAGCAAACAGGAUUAGAUACCCUGGUAGUCCAUACCGUAAACGAUGAAUGCUAAGUGUUGGAGGGUUUCCGCCCUUCAGUGCUGCAGCUAACGCAUUAAGCAUUCCGCCUGGGGAGUACGGCCGCAAGGCUGAAACUCAAAGGAAUUGACGGGGGCCCGCACAAGCGGUGGAGCAUGUGGUUUAAUUCGAAGCUACGCGAAGAACCUUACCAGGUCUUGACAUACUAUGCAAAUCUAAGAGAUUAGACGUUCCCUUCGGGGACAUGGAUACAGGUGGUGCAUGGUUGUCGUCAGCUCGUGUCGUGAGAUGUUGGGUUAAGUCCCGCAACGAGCGCAACCCUUAUUAUCAGUUGCCAGCAUUAAGUUGGGCACUCUGGUGAGACUGCCGGUGACAAACCGGAGGAAGGUGGGGAUGACGUCAAAUCAUCAUGCCCCUUAUGACCUGGGCUACACACGUGCUACAAUGGAUGGUACAACGAGUUGCAAACUCGCGAGAGUAAGCUAAUCUCUUAAAGCCAUUCUCAGUUCGGAUUGUAGGCUGCAACUCGCCUACAUGAAGUCGGAAUCGCUAGUAAUCGCGGAUCAGCAUGCCGCGGUGAAUACGUUCCCGGGCCUUGUACACACCGCCCGUCACACCAUGAGAGUUUGUAACACCCAAAGUCGGUGGGGUAACCUUUUAGGAACCAGCCGCCUAAGGUGGGACAGAUGAUUAGGGUGAAG
rnacentral:rRNA from 1 species